UCGGGUUGUAAAGCACUUUUGUCCGGAAAGAAAACCUUCGAGUUAAUACCUUGGGGGGAUGACGGUACCGGAAGAAUAAGCACCGGCUAACUACGUGCCAGCAGCGCGGUAAUCGUAGGGUGCGAGCGUUAAUCGGAAUUACUGGGCGUAAAGCGUGCGCAGGCGGUUCGUUAAGACAGAUGUGAAAUCCCCGGGCUUAACCUGGGAACUGCAUUUGUGACUGGCGAGCUAGAGUAUGGCAGAGGGGGGUAGAAUUCCACGUGUAGCAGUGAAAUGCGUAGAGAUGUGGAGGAAUACCGAUGGCGAAGGCAGCCCCCUGGGCCAAUACUGACGCUCAUGCACGAAAGCGUGGGGAGCAAACAGGAUUAGAUACCCUGGUAGUCCACGCCCUAAACGAUGUCAACUAGUUGUUGGGGAUUCAUUUCCUUAGUAACGUAGCUAACGCGUGAAGUUGACCGCCUGGGGAGUACGGUCGCAAGAUUAAAACUCAAAGGAAUUGACGGGGACCCGCACAAGCGGUGGAUGAAUGUGGAUUAACUCGAUGCAACGCGAAAAACCUUACCUACCCUUGACAUGGUCGGAACCUGGCUG
rnacentral:rRNA from 1 species